GCACAAGCGGUGGAGCAUGUGGUUCAAUUCGAAGCAACGCGCAGAACCUUACCAGCCUUUGACAUCCCGGUCGCGAGCACCAGAGAUGGAGCUCUUCAGUUCGGCUGGACCGGAGACAGGUGCUGCAUGGCUGUCGUCAGCUCGUGUCGUGAGAUGUUGGGUUAAGUCCCGCAACGAGCGCAACCCUCGCCCUUAGUUGCCAUCAUUUAGUUGGGCACUCUAAGGGGACUGCCGGUGAUAAGCCGGAGGAAGGUGGGGAUGACGUCAAGUCCUCAUGGCCCUUACAGGCUGGGCUACACACGUGCUACAAUGGCGGUGACAGAGGGACGCAAAGGGGCAACCCUUCGCAAAUCUCAAAAAGCCGUCUCAGUUCGGAUUGUGCUCUGCAACUCGAGCACAUGAAGUUGGAAUCGCUAGUAAUCGCAGAUCAGCACGCUGCGGUGAAUACGUUCCCGGGC
rnacentral:rRNA from 1 species